CAAGUCGAACGGCAGCACGAGAGGCUUGCUCUUGGUGGCGAGUGGCGAACGGUGAGUAAUAUAUCGGAACGUAAUCCAAUAAUGGGGGAUAACUAAUCGAAAGGUUAGCUAAUACCGCAUACGCCUACGGGGAAAGCAGGGGAUCUUCGGACCUUGCGUUAAUGGAGCGGCUGAUAUCUGAUUAGCUAGUAGGUGAGGUAAAGGCUCACCUAGGCUUCGAUCAGUAGCUGGUCUGAGAGGACGACCAGCCACACUGGAACUGAGACACGGUCCAGACUCCUACGGGAGGCAGCAGUGGGGAAUUUUGGACAAUGGGCGCAAGCCUGAUCCAGCCAUUCCGCGUGAGUGAAGAAGGCCUUCGGGUUGUAAAGCUCUUUCGCAAGGGAAGAAACGAUGCCGACGAAUAAUCGGUGUUAAUGACGGUACCUUGAUAAGAAGCACCGGCUAACUACGUG
rnacentral:rRNA from 1 species